CAAAACCAUAACGAAACAGUACUUCACCACAUCUGUGGAUUAAGCCACACAAUCAACUCAAUCUCCAGGGCAUGGUGAAUUCUUUGGGAUGCACAUCACGAUCUGGAUGUCAGGACUGGUUAUGCUGUGGAACCCCGGGAAGAAGCCAAACACAAACAGACCAUACUUAGGUUCCUUGGGGAGAUGGGAUUGGGAAAGGAAGUCUCAGUCCACCACUGCAGCGAACAAGUCUUUGCCUUUAUUUCAUGUGACGAGCCACCACUGGAAACCACUGUGCUAUGUUAUGCCAGGACAUUCAUUUCAGGUGUGACAAAUCUAGGUAUUUGCUCUGACUGACAAACAAUGGUUUUGCAUUAUGUAUGAGGAUCCAUGGCAGCUUGCAGCUUGGUUCAAAUUCAGGUCUGAUGCAGGCCAGGACAAGAACGGGUGCAUAUCAGAGAGAGAGUUUCCAUCUGAGGAAUAACUUGUGGGAUAUCUCAUGCAGCAGUAAUCUUUGGAGAAAAUGGAUGUAGUGAAAUCUAAAGCCCAUUUAAAGAAGCUCUGCUGGAAAGGCCCUUUCAGUUGAACAGUUCUAAAGAGGUGAAUGUCACAGGCUGAUUGGCUUUCCUCUCUUGUCAUUUGAGCUCUGGCCUGAAACUGCACUCUCGCCUCAUCCCCUCUGGGGAGUCAACAAGUUGCAUUGCAUUGCUUCAAUUAUAUCAGACUUGGCAUUCCCCAAGAUUGUGUGGAUUCUGGGUUACCGGUAGUUCUUUUCGGGGUCAAAUCUUCAGUAAACAAACCAAUGUCGCAAUGUA